AUGGGGAAGGAGCUCUGCUGGCAGAGGGAAUCAGCCCUGGCUCACCGGUGGUGCCAGAGGGAAUUCCCGAGAGAAUUCCCAGCAGCUGGGGUGCUGGAGGGAAAUCCCUCAGAAAGCAGCCCUGGUGGGCAUUCCCUGGGGAAGCAGCCCCCAGCUCUGGGCCUGGGGUGCCAGAGAGAAGUCCCUCAGGAAGCAGCCCUGGGGCUUCCAGCAGGAAUUUCCCAUGGAAGCAGCCCCAGCAGGGCUCAACCAGCAGGAACACCCUUGGGAAUCAGCCUCAGCAGGAAUCCCCCCGAGGAGCAGCCCCAGCAGGAACCCCCAGGAGCAGCCCUGGGCAGGAAUCCCCUCAGGAAUCAACCCUGGGCAGGAACCCCUCCAGGAGCAGCCCCAGCAGGACCCAGCAGUGAGAACUCCCAGGAGCAGCCCCAGCAGGACCCAGCAGUGA
rnacentral:lncRNA from 1 species